rnacentral:sRNA from 1 species
GCUGGGCGUGGCUGCUCACGCCUGUAAUCCCAGCACUUUGGGAGGCUGAGGCAGGUGGAUCACCUGAGGUCAGGAGUUCAAGACCAGCCUGGCCAACAUGGUGAAACCCUGUCUCUA